rnacentral:rRNA from 1 species
UACGAAGGGGGCUAGCGUUGCUCGGAAUUACUGGGCGUAAAGGGAACGUAGGCGGGUUAUCAAGUUGGGGGUGAAAGCCCGGGGCUCAACCUCGGAAUUGCCUUCAAAACUGAUAACCUGGAGUAUGGAAGAGGUAAGUGGAACUCCGAGUGUAGAGGUGAAAUUCGUAGAUAUUCGGAAGAACACCAGUGGCGAAGGCGACUUACUGGUCCAUUACUGACGCUGAGGCUCGAAAGCGUGGGGAGCAAACAGG